CACGUAGGGCGCAAGCGUUGUCCGGAAUUAUUGGGCGUAAAGAGCUCGUAGGCGGUCUGUUACGUCUGCUGUGAAAACCCGGGGCUUAACCCUGGGCUUGCAGUGGAUACGGGCAGACUAGAGGCAGGUAGGGGAGAAUGGAAUUCCCGGUGUAGCGGUGAAAUGCGCAGAUAUCGGGAGGAACACCGAUGGCGAAGGCAGCUCGCUGGGACGGUACUGACGCUGAGACGCGAAAGCGUGGGGAGCAAACAGG
rnacentral:rRNA from 1 species